rnacentral:lncRNA from 1 species
AAAUGGUGUGGAAUAACUUGUACGCUAAGAAUGACAUCCCGUUCCCCGUUCUGCCAAGUGGGUACAAGAUGGGCCAAAUGUCGGCCUUGACAAAUCCAAAAAAUAAAUUAAAACGCAUGUUUUUUCCACGUCACAUCAUCGUGCAGUGCAGUGAUCUGUUUUGGUUCCAUCUGGUGCUGAUCUGGUUUCAUCACCGUUAUACAAUCCAACGGGAAUAUUUUAACUUCCAAUGGGCAAAACCCUCAUUUGUGUAGAGUAUCGAGAAAGUAGCUAUCAAACCUUAAUGAACGCGCUUUCCACGAAGGUAAGUGGUGGUGUGACACCAAUAUUUUCUGUUUAGUUUAGAUUGUAUCCCUAUCUAGAGCCCUGAACUUCAAUAAGUGUUCGAAUUUGGGGGCUCUCUCUCUCUUAUCUCUCUCGUAUCUUUUAGAGAGAGAGAGUUUCUCCCCCGUUUUCUCACCGGAUCUUUCUCCGGUGACUUUGUUGCCCACGUUUGGGCUCCGACUCUGGCACACGGUGGCUCUUUAAGCACGGUGUGGCCGGCUCUUGACUCCGGCGGCUCACUUGUCUUCUCGGUGAUGUCGUCCGGCUUUUGACUCCGGCGUCGCACCUUCCCACCUUCCCUUUCGGUGUCGGCGGCUGGCUUUUUUCCGGGAGCUCCCGGAUUUUCCUUCCUCAUCUACGUUUCUCGCCUUUUUAUUUUUCAUUACAACUUCGGUUUUGGGAUCCGAUUGUUUCUUCCUCUCCCUUGAUUAGGGUUUUCUCAUCUUCAAACUUAUUCUCAUCACAAAAGAUGUCUGUUUUAAUUACGCAGGUUAAUCGGUUCCUUUGAAAUCGUUCGCUUGUUUUUGAAUCUUAUCUUCAUAUCGUAGAUCGUCUGUCGGCUUGAGUCUUCUCCGUUACGGUGGCUCACCGUUGAGCUUUUCUCCUAUUGUCGUGUGAUUGAGUUUCCUCUCCCGGUGAUAGGUACCCAGAUGAAGAAUCCUAUGUCGGCGUUGAGGUGGGCUUCGUUUAGUCGCCUCUGUACUGAUCUCUUAUCGUUGUUGCCGGUUUUCAUAUCCUUGGCUCCUGUUCCGGUUGGUUUCCGGUGGAUCACCGAUUGGAUUUUCCGGUGGCAUCUUUCCUGUCGACGAAGAAAAGUGAUGGUUCCACUUCUAGACACGUGUCUCAUCUUCGGUUAUGUGCUCUACACGUGUGGGUGGGAGUUGCGUUGAAUCGAUCACCAUCGUCCUUGGACCUCUUUUGUUACUGGGCCUUUGGGCCUCUUUGUAAAUUUGUUCUCUACCCUGUUGGGUUUCUUUGUAAUAGUUUGACUGUCCUGUUGGGCAUUUACUUUGUUUUUGGUUUCGAUAGUUAAUAAUACCAGUGAAAAAAAAAAAGAUUGUAUCCCUAUCUCUACUAGUAACCAAUUAUAAUCUUUGCAAUCAUAUUAUCGCACGGCAUAA